AUUGAACGCUGGCGGCAGGCCUAACACAUGCAAGUCGAGCGAGCGGCGGACGGGUGAGUAAUGUCUGGGAAACUGCCUGAUGGAGGGGGAUAACUACUGGAAACGGUAUCUAAUACCGCAUAACAUCAGAUGUGACCAGAUGGGAUUAGCUAGUAGGGGGGGUAACGGCUCACCUUGGCGACGAUCCCUAGCUGGUCUGAGAGGAUGACCAGCCACACUGGAACUGAGACACGGUCCAGACUCCUACGGGAGGCAGCAGUGGGGAAGAUUGCACAAUGGGCGAAAGCCUGAUGCAGCCAUGCCGCGUGUGUGAAGAAGGCCUUCGGGUUGUAAAGCACUUUAAGCGGGGAGGCGUUACCCGCAGAAGAAGCACCGGCUAACUCCGUGCCAGCAGCCGCGGUAAUAC
rnacentral:rRNA from 1 species